GCGAAAGUGGCGGAACUGGCAGACGCGCUAGAUUCAGGGUCUAGUGGCCUGCGGGCCGUGGGGGUUCAACUCCCCCCUUUCGCACCA
rnacentral:tRNA from 1 species